rnacentral:rRNA from 1 species
UGCGCAGGUGGGCUUGUAAGUCAGUGGUGAAAUACUACCGCUUAGCGGUAGAACUGCCAUUGAUACUGCAAGUCUUGAGUAUGGUUGAGGUAGGCGGAAUGUGCUGUGUAGCGGUGAAAUGCAUAGAUAUGACACAGAACUCCAAUUGCGAAGGCAGCUUACUAAGCCAUUACUGACGCUGAGGCACGAAAGCGUGGGGAGCGAACAGGAUUAGAUACCCUGGUAGUCC